rnacentral:rRNA from 1 species
GACGAACGCUGGCGGCGUGCUUAACACAUGCAAGUCGAACGCUGAAGCUCAGCUUUUGUUGGGUGGAUGAGUGGCGAACGGGUGAGUAACACGUGAGUAACCUGCCUCCUUCUUUGGGAUAACGCCCGGAAACGGGUGCUAAUACUGGAUAUUCACUGGUCUUCGCAUGGGGGUUGGUGGAAAGGGUUUUUCUGGUGGGGGAUGGGCUCGCGGCCUAUCAGCUUGUUGGUGGGGUGAUGGCCUACCAAGGCUUUGACGGGUAGCCGGCCUGAGAGGGUGACCGGUCACGUUGGGACUGAGAUUCGGCCCAGACUCCUGCGGGAGGCAGCAGUGGGGAAUAUUGCACGAUGGGCGCAAGCCUGAUGCAGCGACGCCGCGUGAGGGAUGGAGGCCUUCGGGUUGUGAACCUCUUUCGCUCAUGGUCAAGCCGCAACAAUGGUUGUGGUGAGGGUAGUGGGUAAAGAAGCGCCGGCUAACUACGUG